rnacentral:rRNA from 1 species
GAUAAGAGCCAUACGGGAAACCGUUGUGACGACUCAUCGUAAAAUCAUUGAAUCACGCUUUAGUGCAGUGAUAUCACACAUGAACUUCUGAUCGAUUAGGUAUCGUUGUUUGGAUAGAGGCCAAACAAGCCGGUGAUCGGUACGAGGAAUGGAUGUUCGAUUUCGUAGAAUACGCCUGAGAGACGGCGAAUACUCUCACGAGAGGCAGCAGGCUCGUAAAUUACCCAAUUACAACAAGUAGAGGUAGCGAAGGAAAAUAUGGAGGGAGGUAGGUUUUGCCUAUUUCAUCUCUAAAUGGAAGCAAAUUAAAUAUGUCAUUGAAAGCAAGAAGAGGAAAAGUAUCGGUGCCAGCACCCGCGGUAAUUCCAGCUCUUCUAGCGUAUAUCGAAGUUGAUGCAGUUAAAACGCUCGUAGUCGGAGCUGUUGAGUUGGAGGAUGAAAUGUCUAGUAGUUCGAAAGGAUUAUUGGAAACUCCACUCAUUCAUUGGAUCGUGCGUGUGCAUGGGUUCGCCUGUGAUUACUGCCCUUCCACUUUUACUUUGAGUAAUUCAGAGUGUUCAUAGCAGUCGAUUGACUGAAUAUUUUAGCAUGGGAUAAUAGAAUAUGGCAAGCGGCCUUUUCUAUGGUUCUUGAUGGCUAUUUUUGCAAUGAUCAAUGGGAGUGGAUGGGGUUGCCGGUAUUAUGGAGCUAGAGGUGAAAUUCUAUGAUUUCUAUAGGACCAACAAAUGCGAAAGCAUCCAACCAGUACACGUCCGUCGAUCAAGAACGAAGGGAGUGGUAUCGAAGAUGAUCAGAUACCGUCGUAGUCACUCCAGUAAACGAUGAUAGCUCGAGGCGGUAGGACUGUAGCUUAAAAUCUGCAUUUUACCGAAUCGUGUGAGAAAUCAAAGCGUAUCUCCGGGGGGAGUAUGGCCGCAAGACUGAAACUUAAAGGAAUUGACGGAAGGGCACCACCAGGCGUGGAACCUGCGGCUUAAUUUGACUCAACACGGGAAAACUUACCGGGUCCGGACAUAGUAAGGAUUGACAGGCUUAAGGCCUUUCUUGAUUCUGUGGGUGGUGGUGCAUGGCCGUUCUUAGUUGGUGGAUUGAUUUGUCUGUUUAAUUACGAUAACGAACGAGACGAUCACGAGAUAAUAGGCCGGAUAAAGGAGACUUUGUCUUGGUUCCUUCUCUCUCGGAUCAAUGGAUUCCAAGCCAUUUGAAACGAUCGCAAUAACAGGUCUGUGAUGCCCUUAGAUGUUCCGGGCUGCACGCGCGUUACAAUGAUGACGUCAAUCAGUUUGGAAGGAUUUACUUCUUCCUCUGCUUCCUCGAAAGGGGUGGCUACUCUAACAAACGUCAUCAUGCUGGGGAUAGAUGAUUGUAAUUAUUCGUCUUGAACCAGGAAUGCCUAGUAAGCGCUUGUCAUCAGCAAGCGUUGAUUACGUCCCUGCCCUUUGUACACACCGCCCGUCGCUCCUACCGAUUGGAUUGUCCGGUGAGAACGGAGGAUUGUGGCAAGUGAUGAGCAAUCAUUAUUUGUUGUGAAAAUCCGUUCAAAUCUUAUAAUCUAGAGGAAGGAGAAGUCGUAACAAGGUCUUCGUAGGUGAACCUGCGAAGG